CGCCCGACUCUCCUGCGCGAAGCCAGCACGCUCGUGCACUCCCAUCUCUGGUUUUUUUUUUUGUAAACAUGGCUGCGACACUGGCCGCUGAACCCGAGCACUCACAAACAUAAACUAUUCAUUCAGUAGCAACAGGAGGAAGGGGCAGUAAGAUGAAGAACCACUGGGUCUUUUCUGGAAGAGGAGAAGAAUAAGAAGACGAGGAUGACCACCAGCUGCGAAAUACUUACCUAAACAGCGGACUGCGCUGAAAGGCAAAAAGUUUUAGCUGUGUGAAGUUUGACAGCCACUUGGCUCGCUCGAGAGCUAACGUAGCCUAGCUAGCAAACUAUUCAAGCUAGCAGCACGGUUAAACUAGAUAUUUAAUUGCAUUUAGAUGAGUAACGAGCUCUUUGGUUACAUUUCGAGUCAGUUGUGUUAAAUUUAUAACUCUUCGCUGAAGCGGGUUGCUAAUGAACACAGUCCUGCACAGGGACAUCACCACUGUGUGCUUUCCUUUUGUCAUUUUUUUUGUCAUUUAAAUGAAUGAAUAACGCUGCUCCUUUAUCCUGGGAGGAUGGAUUUGGCGUAAUACCGUUACAUCAUUAUCCCAAAGGAGGAAUUUAGCAGGGAAAUGCAAUGGUCUGAUCUAAUUCUUCAUAAUCAUCCAUCGCCGACGUUUGUCUUGCUAAAAAUACAUCAGCUGAUCUGCUCUGGAUAUCAACAUGUUUUCUCCAAAAACUCCGAAGCCGACUUUUACCUCCUAUCUUUCUCCACUUCAGACCGACGCGAAGAAAUAUCUUCCCGUGUCCACCAAGAAACUCGAGGCCCGACUCUUACCAGAAUCCAACAUAGAGAUGAAACUUAUAUGAACUUUGAAGCACGAGAACAACACAGCACUUAGGAAGAAUGUUUAAGAUGUGUUUAAUAUGUUCUCUUUAUUAAGAUUUCUUUUACUUAUUUUAAUGCUCCUAUUAUUAUACAGUAUGUCUUUCUCAUUUCAAAUGUAUAAAAUCAAUACAUCAUAUAUAUAUAUAUAUAUAUAUACAGUAUUCUUUUUAUUCAGACUGUAAGACAUAAAAACGUUAGUAAGUGUUUAAUGAUGAAAAAUUAUUAUGGCAAUAAACAUUUAAUAUAUUUGUAGCAAUAUGUACAGUACAUUUACAGCAGGGAUCUCCAACCUUUUUUCCUCUGAGAGUUACUGGUGUUAUAUUAUUAGUAACAUUUAUUUACAUAGCUUAUUGCCAUAAACCAAACCAGCUGAAUGAGCUAUUUUUGUGUGAAUUUAAAAGAAAAUGUCAACAUCAGUCAUAUUUUGCAAUAAAUCAUUUUAAUUCACA